UACGAAGGGUGCAAGCGUUACUCGGAAUUACUGGGCGUAAAGCGUGCGUAGGUGGUUUGUUAAGUCUGAUGUGGAAGCCCUGGGCUCAACCUGGGAAUUGCAUUGGAUACUGGCAGGCUAGAGUGCGGUAGAGGGUAGUGGAAUUCCCGGUGUAGCAGUGAAAUGCGUAGAGAUCGGGAGGAACAUCCGUGGCGAAGGCGACUACCUGGACCAGCACUGACACUGAGGCACGAAAGCGUGGGGAGCAAAC
rnacentral:rRNA from 2 species